rnacentral:rRNA from 1 species
AAAUUGAAGAGUUUGAUCAUGGCUCAGAUUGAACGCUGGCGGCAGGCCUAACACAUGCAAGUCGAACGGUAACAGGAAGCAGCUUGCUGCUUCGCUGACGAGUGGCGGACGGGUGAGUAAUGUCUGGGAAACUGCCUGAUGGAGGGGGAUAACUACUGGAAACGGUGGCUAAUACCGCAUAACGUCGCAAGACCAAAGAGGGGGACCUUCGGGCCUCUUGCCAUCAGAUGUGCCCAGAUGGGAUUAGCUAGUUGGUGAGGUAACGGCUCACCAAGGCGACGAUCCCUAGCUGGUCUGAGAGGAUGACCAGCCACACUGGAACUGAGACACGGUCCAGACUCCUACGGGAGGCAGCAGUGGGGAAUAUUGCACAAUGGGCGCAAGCCUGAUGCAGCCAUGCCGCGUGUAUGAAGAAGGCCUUCGGGUUGUAAAGUACUUUCAGCGGGGAGGAAGGUGUUGUGGUUAAUAACCGCAGCAAUUGACGUUACCCGCAGAAGAAGCACCGGCUAACUCCGUGCCAGCAGCCGCGGUAAUACGGAGGGUGCAAGCGUUAAUCGGAAUUACUGGGCGUAAAGCGCACGCAGGCGGUCUGUCAAGUCGGAUGUGAAAUCCCCGGGCUCAACCUGGGAACUGCAUUCGAAACUGGCAGGCUUGAGUCUUGUAGAGGGGGGUAGAAUUCCAGGUGUAGCGGUGAAAUGCGUAGAGAUCUGGAGGAAUACCGGUGGCGAAGGCGGCCCCCUGGACAAAGACUGACGCUCAGGUGCGAAAGCGUGGGGAGCAAACAGGAUUAGAUACCCUGGUAGUCCACGCCGUAAACGAUGUCUACUUGGAGGUUGUGCCCUUGAGGCGUGGCUUCCGGAGCUAACGCGUUAAGUAGACCGCCUGGGGAGUACGGCCGCAAGGUUAAAACUCAAAUGAAUUGACGGGGGCCCGCACAAGCGGUGGAGCAUGUGGUUUAAUUCGAUGCAACGCGAAGAACCUUACCUGGUCUUGACAUCCACGGAAGUUUUCAGAGAUGAGAAUGUGCCUUCGGGAACCGUGAGACAGGUGCUGCAUGGCUGUCGUCAGCUCGUGUUGUGAAAUGUUGGGUUAAGUCCCGCAACGAGCGCAACCCUUAUCCUUUGUUGCCAGCGGUCCGGCCGGGAACUCAAAGGAGACUGCCAGUGAUAAACUGGAGGAAGGUGGGGAUGACGUCAAGUCAUCAUGGCCCUUACGACCAGGGCUACACACGUGCUACAAUGGCGCAUACAAAGAGAAGCGACCUCGCGAGAGCAAGCGGACCUCAUAAAGUGCGUCGUAGUCCGGAUUGGAGUCUGCAACUCGACUCCAUGAAGUCGGAAUCGCUAGUAAUCGUGGAUCAGAAUGCCACGGUGAAUACGUUCCCGGGCCUUGUACACACCGCCCGUCACACCAUGGGAGUGGGUUGCAAAAGAAGUAGGUAGCUUAACCUUCGGGAGGGCGCUUACCACUUUGUGAUUCAUGACUGGGGUGAAGUCGUAACAAGGUAACCGUAGGGGAACCUGCGGUUGGAUCACCUCCUUACCUUAAAGAAGC